ensembl:rRNA 5S_rRNA 5S ribosomal RNA
UUCUAUGGCCAUAGCACCCUGAACGCACCCUAUCUCAUCUGUUCUUGGAAGCUAAGCAAGGUCAGUCCUGGUUACUACUUGGAUGGGAGUUCCAAAUUUCAGUUCUCGGGAUCAGUCCAUGGCUUCAAAGCAG